GUUUUACUAUGGAAUGGAAUAUUUAUACGAAGAAGAGUUCAGAAAAUAAAUACUAUUUGAUAUUUUUCUGAACAUCAGUUCAUCGUAAAUAUGUUCGUUAGAUUCCUAACUUGGAAGUUAUCAAGGUCGAGUGUCUCUUACCGAUAGAUAAUACUGCAAUGAUAAAGAAGAUUUAUCGAUCCAAUUUGACUGAUAUGCUGCCGAUCCGACGGCAGAACUCUGCGGAUUUAAUUAAUAAAUUAAUAAUUUAUGAUAAUAAUGAUGAUGAUAAUUAUAAUAAUAAUAAUAAUAAUAAUAAUAAUAAUAAUAAUAAUAUAGUAACCAUGAAAAUUAUUUACCAUUUCCAUCAGAUUAUCUGCAGGUCGACAGGAUAAAAACAAUUCGAAUAUCGAUCCGAUCAUCAACGAGACAAAUUGAAGUUUCAGUGUUAUCGAAUCUGCCUGUUCGUUAAAAAAAAAAAAAAAAAAAAAAAAAAGAAAAUACAUAUUUAUAUUUAGAUCAGGGAUAAACAAUAAUUAGUUUUGAUAAUUCGACGUGAAUGAAAUACCAACGAAUAGAAAUUGAACACCACCGAAUAUUAUGCACACCGACGAAACACCAAUACUUGUGAGUAUUAUAAAACGUAUUGCUUUGAUGACGUCCUUUCCAUAUCUAAAAAAUCAUUACUACAAUGACAAGGAAAUACAUUGGAAUAUAUUAAUGGA